rnacentral:rRNA from 1 species
AGAGUUUGAUCCUGGCUCAGGAUGAACGCUGGCGGCGUGCCUAAUACAUGCAAGUCGAGCGAACGGACGAGAAGCUUGCUUCUCUGAUGUUAGCGGCGGACGGGUGAGUAACACGUGGAUAACCUACCUAUAAGACUGGGAUAACUUCGGGAAACCGGAGCUAAUACCGGAUGAUAUUUUGAACCGCAUGGUUCAAAAGUGAAAGACGGUCUUGCUGUCACUUAUAGAUGGAUCCGCGCUGCAUUAGCUAGUUGGUAAGGUAACGGCUUACCAAGGCAACGAUGCAUAGCCGACCUGAGAGGGUGAUCGGCCACACUGGAACUGAGACACGGUCCAGACUCCUACGGGAGGCAGCAGUAGGGAAUCUUCCGCAAUGGGCGAAAGCCUGACGGAGCAACGCCGCGUGAGUGAUGAAGGUCUUCGGAUCGUAAAACUCUGUUAUUAGGGAAGAACAUAUGUGUAAGUAACUGUGCACAUCUUGACGGUACCUAAUCAGAAAGCCACGGCUAACUACGUGCCAGCAGCCGCGGUAAUACGUAGGUGGCAAGCGUUAUCCGGAAUUAUUGGGCGUAAAGCGCGCGUAGGCGGUUUUUUAAGUCUGAUGUGAAAGCCCACGGCUCAACCGUGGAGGGUCAUUGGAAACUGGAAAACUUGAGUGCAGAAGAGGAAAGUGGAAUUCCAUGUGUAGCGGUGAAAUGCGCAGAGAUAUGGAGGAACACCAGUGGCGAAGGCGACUUUCUGGUCUGUAACUGACGCUGAUGUGCGAAAGCGUGGGGAUCAAACAGGAUUAGAUACCCUGGUAGUCCACGCCGUAAACGAUGAGUGCUAAGUGUUAGGGGGUUUCCGCCCCUUAGUGCUGCAGCUAACGCAUUAAGCACUCCGCCUGGGGAGUACGACCGCAAGGUUGAAACUCAAAGGAAUUGACGGGGACCCGCACAAGCGGUGGAGCAUGUGGUUUAAUUCGAAGCAACGCGAAGAACCUUACCAAAUCUUGACAUCCUUUGACAACUCUAGAGAUAGAGCCUUCCCCUUCGGGGGACAAAGUGACAGGUGGUGCAUGGUUGUCGUCAGCUCGUGUCGUGAGAUGUUGGGUUAAGUCCCGCAACGAGCGCAACCCUUAAGCUUAGUUGCCAUCAUUAAGUUGGGCACUCUAAGUUGACUGCCGGUGACAAACCGGAGGAAGGUGGGGAUGACGUCAAAUCAUCAUGCCCCUUAUGAUUUGGGCUACACACGUGCUACAAUGGACAAUACAAAGGGCAGCGAAACCGCGAGGUCAAGCAAAUCCCAUAAAGUUGUUCUCAGUUCGGAUUGUAGUCUGCAACUCGACUACAUGAAGCUGGAAUCGCUAGUAAUCGUAGAUCAGCAUGN